GCAUACUUGUGAAUUGGUUAUGACUUGAAGACGUUGAUUUCGAGGAUGACUCGAGUAAGGAAAAUUCUAGAUGCAUGAUGUGUUACACUUUAUGGAUAUAUGGAAAUCUUGAAAUGAUUUGAGUUUGUUAUUUCUGAUGGAUGUAAUAUGUUAAUAAAAGGGAGCCACUAGAUUGCGUUAAGGUGAGGAUUACUUAUUUAGGUUUUGGCGUGCUAACGGAGCACAUAUCAUUCGGCUCGUUUUGGUGGUGCAUUAGAGAUUAGUGUAGAGUGGAUAACUCUCGAGAAAGUUCUAAUGGGUUCAUGAUUCAUAUGUGGUAUAUGAGGAAUUUAUGGAUUUGUAAAGGAUUAGAUAUAAUAUUUGUUUUGGAUGGUGUCAGGACCCGCGGUAUGUCCUUAUCACUAUGGAUCCCACAUUUCAGUAUCAGAGAGGUUAAAAAACAACUUUAGAUUUGCGGAAGGUCUUUUUAGGGUGUGUAUCUUGGUUGCGGUAUUCUUUGGCGUCUAAGGUGGAAUAUACUGGCUUAUGGAUCUUGAGACAACGUGAUAUCAUGCUAGGAUAACUAGUAGUGAACUUUGGAUUAUGAAUCGAAGUAUACUAGCAAGGAGAAGUGUUAACUUAAUGGCAAGUCGAGGGGACUCGAAGAAAUAGGACAGUUUGGUGGUAGAUCAGAUCAGUAUUGUGAUAGAAAUGAUCAAUUCUUUUGGUUCUUAUGAUAUGGUGAGGCUUUAUCGGUGUUUUGUUGCAUUACUCUUGGGGGUGGCGACUUGCGUGACUUAGCUGAGUUAGAAGGAUUCAGUUCUGAUGGAUUGGUUAUGUGAAAACAAGUUUCGAAGAGUUCUCGUUGGUGUCGACCAAGGUUUGGGGCAAAUGUAUUUGACAGGGAUGAUGAGUAUAUUGGAUGUUGUAAUUUUUCUCUCAGAUGUGGGGCCUAGUGGUAAAUUUCUAGCUGAUUGAGUAUGUAUCCUGCAUGUGAAUUAGAGUUGAUUAUGGGAUUCUUGUGUUUUCAUAUGAUGGAAUGAUAGAUGAGGUGUGCAUCGUAUGAGAUUGAGGUUUGUAUGUACAAUGUUGCGGUUCAACUUUGAAGGGAAAUCCAUGAAUUUUAGAUAACACAAACAGUUUUAGAUGUUAAGAAGAAUGUUAGUACUAAUUGGUAUCACCUAAGGAGGGUGCGCAUUUUAGUGGACGUAUCGUGUUGGGCUUGCAGAUGCUUGACUAGUAUUACGGUAAUCACCUGGUUUCUCAACUAUAGAUGUUCAGAUUUUGCUAUAUGGCACGGAAGAAUUAUGGAUGUAUUUCUCGCAGGAUGAUUGAGUAUGAGAGAUGAGUUAGUCAUUCGAGUGGUGGAGAUGGGAUCGAAUAUGGUAAUUCUUGUAUUCUAGGGAUUUGGAGACUUGGAGGGUUCUCAGAGGCAGAUUAUUCUUUGGUUGUGAACCGUGAAGGUAUGGCAAAAGUUAGACAACUAGUAGUAUGUGUAAUGGUUAGGUUAUUAUGGACUUUUGAAGGAUUAUUUAUUUAUUUAUGGAUGGUCAGAGUUGAUUUGGGGGCCCAUUAGUAGGCCUAACGAGGAUGUGCAUUCUACAUCGGGUCGAAUUUAUUGACUCAUCAAUUCUAUUUUUGAGUGGUGUGUCAUUCAAUUAGAGUUGAGCUUGUUCAUGUAUUGAUAUGUUCUAUGUAUCACUCUUCUAUGCUAUGAUGGGUUGUGAUCUGUUGGGUAUUUGCACACAUGAUACAUUUCUGUUUGAGCCUUAUGGCAAAAUUCGAGCGAGAUGGUUCUUAAAGUGUUGAAUGGUUGAUUGCGCUUUUGCUAUGGCCUUCGUGCUUGUGGUAUAUUGUUCUAUCUAUUUCUCCAUGAAUAUGAUAAUGAACUUCAUGUGUUUGUUGUUGAUUUUCGUAUGGUUAUUGAUUUUGGGCAUUAUAGCUUGAGGUAUUUCAUGUGGAUUGGUGUUUGGAUAUGGUCACAAGUGCAGCAAAGUUACAUUGGGAUAUGUUCCUUUGUGUUAGAUCCAUGUGUCUUGGUUCUAUUAUGUGUGAUGGGUUCAUAGCAUUACGUUUGUGGUAAUAUAUGUUGAGGUUGCGGGACGGUCCUCUCAUUUGAUUUUCUUUCCAACAUUCGAGUUGUUGCUUGUUUGGAUGUAAGGAUCGCGUGGCAUAUGGCUAUAGAUGGUAUUUGUGUGGCAUGUCAGUUGAGUAUCUUUUACUUGAUAAGAUGAGGUCAUUGGACCUGGAAUGAGUACUAUCGGAUUUGAUUACGGUAUGUUUGGAAGAAUAAUGUUAGUUGUCAGCUUAGAAUUUGGCUAUGGUUCUUGUUGGGCGAGAGAGCUCCAGAACUUGUUGGACUGAUGAGUGGUUAUGAGUAUCUAUGUGUUCCCUUCAUCAUUGGUAGUGUACAAAGGUUCAUAAUAAGUUUUCAAUUGUUAGGAGGAUUAUUAUCGGUACCGGGCUUGUUAAUGGACAGUUAUUAUGCUCGGAAGUUAUUGCUAUGGGUAUAUGGGUUAUGUGGUAUAUCAUGUGAUUAUAUCUUGGGUUAUGAUUAUGUCUUGGUACAGCUUGUUCAGACUUGCGCAGUGUUUGGAUGUGAGAAUUGGGUCUUUAAUGUAUUCCGGAUGUUGGAGAUUUGAUUCUAAGGUUAUGGGCUAAGGUUGAAGUGAGGAUCCUUGUCACACCUCCUUUUUCUACCCCGGAAAGGGGUAUAAAGGAGUUUUUCCAAUUAAAGUGACAAUAAUCGAAAUGGGAUUAUUUAUUAAAAUUCAGAGUCUCCACUUGGGGUAAUUUAUGGUGUCCCAAGUCACCGGUUUAAAAUCCCGAAUCGAGUAAGUUUGACUCUGUUUUACAGUCCGCGAAACAUAGAAAUUCGGGUAAAGAACUCUGUUAACCCGAGAGAAGGUAUUAGGCAUUUUCG
rnacentral:lncRNA from 1 species